UACGUAGGGUCCGAGCGUUGUCCGGAAUUAUUGGGCGUAAAGGGCUCGUAGGCGGUUUGUCACGUCGGGCGUGAAAACUCAGGGCUCAACCCUGAGCGUGCGUUCGAUACGGGCAGACUAGAGGUAUGCAGGGGAGAACGGAAUUCCUGGUGUAGCGGUGGAAUGCGCAGAUAUCAGGAGGAACACCGAUGGCGAAGGCAGGUCUCUGGGCCACUACUGACGCUGAGAAGCGAAAGCAUGGGGAGCGAACAGG
rnacentral:rRNA from 1 species